GAGUGUUACAUUCUCUUUCGGAAUUUGUCUAGCAGGUUUGCCGGUCCUCACUGGAAGACCCCC
rnacentral:snRNA from 1 species